UUGACCUCGGAUCAGGUAGGAAUACCCGCUGAACUUAAGCAUAUCAAUAAGCGGAGGAAAAGAAACCAACAGGGAUUGCCCUAGUAACGGCGAGUGAAGCGGCAACAGCUCAAAUUUGAAAUCUGGCUUUCGGGCCCGAGUUGUAAUUUGUAGAGGAUGACUUUGAUGCGGUGCCUUCCGAGUUCCCUGGAACGGGACGCCAUAGAGGGUGAGAGCCCCGUCUGGUUGGA
rnacentral:rRNA from 1 species